rnacentral:rRNA from 1 species
UACGUAGGGGUGCGAGCGUUGUCCGGAAUUAUUGGGCGUAAAGAGCUUGUAGGCGGUUUGUCGCGUCUGCCGUGAAAAUCCGGGGCUCAACCCCGGACUUGCGGUGGGUACGGGCAGACUAGAGUGUGGUAGGGGGAGACUGGAAUUCCUGGUGUAGCGGUGAAAUGCGCAGAUAUCGGGAGGAACACCAAUGGCGAAGGCAGCUCGCUGGGACGGUACUGACGCUGAGACGCGAAAGCGUGGGGGAGCGAACAGG